AUUGAACGCUGGCGGCAUGCUUUACACAUGCAAGUCGAACGGCAGCGCGGGCUUCGGCCUGGCGGCGAGUGGCGAACGGGUGAGUAAUGCAUCGGAACGUGCCCAGUAGUGUGGGAUAGCCCGGCGAAAGGCGGAUUCAUACCACACCCGACCUGAGGGUGAAAGCGGGGGUGCGAAAGGCGCUGUGGUUUUGGAGCCGCCGCUGUCGGAUUAGCUAGUUGGUGUGGUAAAGGCUUACCAAGACGGCGAUCCGUAGCUGGUCUGAGAGGUUGACCUGCCACACUGGGACUGAGACACGGCCCACACUCCUACGGGACGGACCAGGCGGGAAUUUUGGACGAUGGGGGCAAUCCUGAUCCAGCCAUGCCGCCUGACGCAAGAAGGCCUUCCGGUUGUAUACCGCUUUUGUUCUGGAAGAAAUCCUCUGGGCUAAUACCCCGGUAGGAUGACGGUACCGGAGAAAUAAGCACCGGCUAACUACGUG
rnacentral:rRNA from 1 species